UUUGGAGCCCUGUGCGAGGCCGAGAC
rnacentral:piRNA from 1 species